ensembl:lncRNA
GGAUGGCGGGCUAAAGGUCAAAGCCGAGAGACGAGACGGAUUGAAUUGGCAAAAGGCCGCCCGUCUCUGUGGACGUUAACAGGAGACAGAGACAAAGUGCGGAUCGCUGUGUCCCGCGUGUAACGGAGGACGUUUUCUCCCACCGCUGACAAACGAGUGUCUCGUUCGUCGGUCGAUUCAUCCCCACGUUUAACUUUUCAUGGGACUUUCCGCCUGGUGGCAGUUAAAAAAUAAGUUAAAGGAGGCAUCGCUUCAAAUGCGACAGUCUCUCUUCAUCAAACUCCAACUCCGGGAGAGGAGGCGAUGGCUGAAAUGUCAUUAAAGGAACACAAAAGUCGGAUAGAAGUGACGCCCGCGGCCUCUUCCAGGUGCCGAGGUUCCUCCUCGUUGGACGGCUCUUUACCAGCGUGUCCUUGUGUGUGCUGAAGAUGCAUUGUCCAUUCACUCUAAACUAAUAUCCCAGCGCAGACUCGGUCAAUAUGUCCUAUUAUGUCGCCGAGGACAAUACAUCGAGUGUGUGGGUGCCACCACUGUGUGCGUGUGUGUGUGUGUCUGCGACGAAGUGAAUGUGUGUCCAUGCACGUUGUGUGUAAGUAGGCGUGCAAGUGACUGGAAUAUAUUUGUGCAUUAAGCCCACAAAAUAAAUGCACGUUACUUAUCUCGUGGUUGCGUGUUUGUACAGGUGCGUACGUGCACACAAGCACGACCACAUGUUUGCACAUAGAGAGCAUGCGUGCUUUCCACCCGCCUGCAACAUGUGAGCUCUCAGUGCAUUGAUGGAGGUGGUUGUGAGCAGGACCCGGCUCAGCUGUUUGUGCGAGUGGCGCGGAGUGAUAUGGUGACAGCUGUUUUUUUCUGAUGCGAGCACAUCGCUCACGGCGACGUCACGCCGAAUAACAAAACUCUUUUUCUUUAACAGAGAGUAGAGCUGCAGAUCUGAUCUGUGGAGCCGCAGAAACCGAGAAUUCAGGCAAAGAUGAGGCCAGCAGCCGCUUUAAGCCCGACUGGGACGCGUUUGCUAAACUCAGCGGUGUGAUUGUUUCCUUGUCUCGUUCUGUGAGUCCACGUUGGUUCACUUGUAUCCAUCUGCCUGUUUUUAGCCAUCAGCCUCCUUUCAUCCACGAUGUGAAAGAUUCAUGCAUCGUCUCAGCGAAGAGCUGGGAAUGAUUAAACAUUCAGAUUCCAACUUGGAAAACGGAGGCCGAAGUGGUCUGUGUGUGUGUGCGUGUG